UUUAUCUAAUAUUCAUUAUUAUCGUUUCAAAUGUUUAAUUUAUGUAAUAAAGUUUAUUACAUAAAUUAAACGUCAUACAGUAACAAGUAACAAAUAAAAAAAUAGCUUGAAGAUCUUACACAAAAAUAGUUCAUAAAUGUAUUAAUACCUGCAAAUUAUACAUCACAUGUGUCACAAGUGUCAUUAGAUAUAAAAUUUUCUAUAUGACUACUACAGUGGAAUUGUGGUUGUUAAGCUUAUGUUUUACAAUUUAAAUUUGUUUCUUUUGUUUGAUGAUAUCUGUUUGAUUGUAAAACCCCCGUUUACUAACAUCCCAUCUACUAACAUAUUAAAACGGUCUACAAAAAGUGAUAUCACUAGAAUUUAUAUUUUACUUAUGUACGGCUUUCUAAAAUUGCCAGACAUUUUAUUUUAAGACCAAUGUCUAGUCUAUAAUAAUUGAUUGAAUUGCGAGAUUAAAUCAUUUAAUAAUCAUUAAAAAAAAUUAAAAUAAAAAAACUCAAUUUAAAUCAUUAUUUUUAUUUGUCUGAUUUAAAUCAUGAUUUAAGUUGAAAAACCCUCUAUAUAUUCCAUCUUUCCGAGGCAGAGGGGCAUUAUUCUUGGUUUUAUUAUUUUUUAAUUCAAUAUUACUGGAUACUGCUUAUAUUUAGUUUGCGUGCAACAGUUGAUAACUUUAAGCUUAUACAUUAACUUUAUUAAUAGCUUAAUUAUUAAUGAAUUGAUUUAUAGAUUUUUAUAGCAAUGCAAGAUUAAACUUAGCAGAAGUCUGAACUGCUCUGGAGACAAAAAAGAAAAACAGCGAAAAUGAUCAGCCAAAAUAAAGAUUAAAGAGGCAAAAAUUUGUGUAUACCUUGAAGAGACAAAAAAUUCUUGGUGUAGAUGAUUCUUCAAAUUAUUUUAGUAAUGGCCUCACUUUCUUAUAAUAAAUCAAAAAAUAUUAUUAUACUUUGGGAUUUACCUGUAACUCCAAACUCUUUGCAGAAGUUCAAUGUUUGUUCUGAGAAGUUAAAUGAAAAAAAUUUAUUUAAAGUGCAACUGUAUCUCAAACGUUUACGAGAAUUGUUUGAGAAUUGUGUCAGUGCCAGAAAUAGAAUGCAAACUAGCAAAUUUCAUAAUUCAUAAAAGUUAUAUCUAUUUAUAAGGUUGUAUCUCCUAAAGAUAUGCAGGUGUUUUUAGUACGAUGGGCAAGCAUUGAAGUGCAACUUGGUGAACUACAAAACACAUCAAAUUUAAUUUUAUAAAAGUUUUGAAUAACAAAGAUAUGCUAAUGAAUGAUUUGCCUGAAAGAGUGUCAUUUCAAUUAAAAACAUUGUAGAAUUCAAUUACUCUAGAAGAAAAAAGACAAGAAAAUACUUAAGAAAAUGGGACAAUUUAGAGUUAAAGAUAAAGAAGAUUGUAUAUGUUAUUUACUAAGAACAAGUUUUAAAAAACCUAGCUGUAAAACUAAACUACGCAGGGAGAAGACAAAAAAUGGAAAUAGGAAAAAUGUUGUUUUCAUAUGUUGCUAUUGUAGUUGUAAAGUCAAAUAAGCAUGGAUUAUGCAGCGAUGUGAUAAAGAUGGUGGAAGAAAAUAUGAAAGUUGUGGGCACAAAAUAUCAUUAGCUGAACACGAUUCAAUAACAAGUAGCUCAGCCAAUAACGAAACUACUUCAUAAAUUUUAUUGGGAAUUUUUUUAUUUAAUA
rnacentral:lncRNA from 1 species